rnacentral:lncRNA from 11 species
CAGGCCCUGGAUGGUGCAGCUCGCCAUUCUCUUUCAUCCGAAGCUUAAAAGGACCCCGAGGCCAAUAAGGAGAGAGUCAAGCAGAAAGCAGGACUUGCCUUUUCCGCUUCUGAGGGCUCAUUUGGGGAUUUCUUUCCCUCCUUUUCCUUCCCAUUUAAAUCAGGGCUUUGUUCAAGACCGCUGCAGGAGAUACUUCUGCCGGACCGGAGCAAACAUUGGGCGGAUUUUCCAAAUUACUUCUCCGUCCGACACCCCAGCUGUGGAUAGCUCCGAGGCUUCCUUAAUUGGGAGAGAUACUGAUAACACUACUACUGUGGAAGAACCAGAUGUCCCGAGUUCCCCAGGGAAUUGUCUUGCACUGUAAACUAAGUGUGGUGUCAACGUAGCGACUUCACCAUUUCCAGUUCCCUGAUUUCACCAAGCCAAGUCUCCUGUUCCUGGCAGCCAAGCCGAGCCGCGACUCCCGAUUUAAUCCGGAGUAAAUUCACAUCCUUGCCUUGUUCCUGAAUCCAGGUUGCUUUUAGCUUCGUCUUCUGCCUGCCUUGAAAACCAAGACUUCCUAGUGACUUUGGACCUUGUUAUUCACUCUUGCUUUCUAUUUGCUUUCCCCGCUCAAGAACUUCUCAACAGUUUUGAGUGUGUUUCGGUUUCUGGACUUUGGACAAUAAUAUUGGACAUUUCUCUUCAACGCUUUGGACUAAUUCAUACCAUUCCUUAAAGGACUAUUGCUCACUCAUCC